rnacentral:rRNA from 1 species
UUGAAAGGGAAACGAUUGAAGUCAGUCGUACCGACGAGAAAUCAGCUUAUCGUGUGUUAACUUGUGGGCGUGCGUGAGUUUCGGCCUCGCUGUUUGCAAUGCUUGUUCUUUUUGGGUGUACUUUUUCGUAUGGUAGGCCAACAUCAGUUUCGAAUACCAUAAAAUGACCGGCGGAAUGUAGCUCCGAUCUCGUAUUGAAGUGUUAUAGCCUUCGGCAGAUGUGACGAUCGGGAUUGAGGAUUGCAACGGAUACCCUUCGGGGCUACCUGUCUGAUCUCUGAUUGUUGCUCUGGUACCGAAAGCUUGCUUACGGUUAUCAAAGUCGAUUGUCAAUAGGUUAGAACGGGUUAAAUUCGUUAAGGAUGUUGACGUA